AACGAACGCUGGCGGCAGGCCUAAUACAUGCAAGUCGAACGCUCCGCAAGGAGAGUGGCAGACGGGUGAGUAACGCGUGGGAACCUUUCCAGUGGUACGAAUAGCCCAGGGAAACUCGGGGUAAUACCGUACAAGCCCUUACGGGGAAAGAUUUAUCGCCAUUGGGUGGGCCCGCGUCGGAUUAGCUGGUUGGUGGGGUAAUGGCCUACCAAGGCGACGAUCCGUAGCUGGUCUGAGAGGAUGAUCAGCCACACUGGGACUGAGACACGGCCAGACUCCUACGGGAGGCAGCAGUAGGGAAUAUUGGACAAUGGGCGCAAGCCUGAUCCAGCCAUGCCGCGUGAGUGACGAAGGCCUUAGGGUUGUAAAGCUCUUUUGGCGGGGAAGAUAAUGACGGUACCCGCAGAAUAAGCUCCGGCUAACUUCGUG
rnacentral:rRNA from 1 species